rnacentral:lncRNA from 7 species
CCUCACGUCUCUCUCCCUCACGUCUCUCUCUCCCUUCAUUUUCUCUCUCCCUUGCUUCUCUCACGCACGUGCCCUGGCCAACGCACGCGACGCCCCACCGCGACGCCGCACAGGCCCCGCCCUGCGCGAGCAGCGCGCUGCCGCGCCAGCCCACCGCGAUGCCGAGCGCGCCCGACGACCAAACGCCGCGAACCAUCGUCCGUUUCUUGCUUCAUGGCGAUUUAUUUCAUCCGUUUCUUAUUCCUAUUAUUUCUCCAUUAGUAACCGACGUAUUGACGGCAUUUGAAGCCUGCGGCACCCCAUGACCUCCCUGGCAGACUCUUCUUCUCCCCUCCUUCUCUCUAUAAAUGGGGACAGCAGAGCUCUCUCUUCUCUCCUGCCUACCCAAGCGCCCCAUCUCUCUAGCUCACCAUUGCACUGUUCGACGCCGCCGUUCGUCGCCGGAGUUCGCUGCUCGUUGCCGGAGCCCGUGGAGUUCGCCGGAGUGUGCCGUCGUCGCCGGAGUUCACCGGAGCCGCGUACUAGCUGUCCGUAGUCGAGCCCCGCUCUCCGUCGAUCCGUCCCCGUCACACGCACGAACCCGAGGUUGAUGACGACCCAAGUUUAUUUUAUGUAUUUUAUAAACGCUUUUGAUUCGAUUCAUGUGUUGUAUAGUUUGUUUGUUGUAAUAUGAACACAUGUGAUUCCGAUUUAUGUAUUUGUGUGCGCUACGGAAUUUGU